CAGUCUCCACGGUAAUACAGAGGGUGCGAGCGUUAAUCGGAUUUACUGGGCGUAAAGCGUGCGUAGGCGGCUUUUUAAGUCGGAUGUGAAAUCCCUGAGCUUAACUUAGGAAUUGCAUUCGAUACUGGGAAGCUAGAGUAUGGGAGAGGAUGGUAGAAUUCCAGGUGUAGCGGUGAAAUGCGUAGAGAUCUGGAGGAAUACCGAUGGCGAAGGCAGCCAUCUGGCCUAAUACUGACGCUGAGGUACGAAAGCAUGGGGAGCAAACAGGAUUAGAUACCCCAGUAGUCCCUGUCUCUUAUAC
rnacentral:rRNA from 1 species